UACAGAGGUCCCAAGCGUUGUUCGGAUUCACUGGGCGUAAAGGGUGCGUAGGUGGCUUGGUAAGUUUGAUGUGAAAUCUCCGGGCUUAACCCGGAAAUGGCAUUGAAUACUAUUGAGCUGGAGGUUUGGAGGGGGACUGGAAUUCUCGGUGUAGCAGUGAAAUGCGUAGAUAUCUGGAGGAACACCGGUGGCGAAGGCGGCAUCCUGGACCGAUACUGACGCUGAGGAGCGAAAGCCAGGGGAGCAAACGGG
rnacentral:rRNA from 1 species